rnacentral:lncRNA from 10 species
CUGCUCCACGAAGCAAGAACUGAGGCAGCUUUGGAAAGGAUGCACUUUCAGGACAGCUCACUCACACAGGCGUUGUGGUAAAGCUGCAUGCCAGCUGGGAGCUCAGCCAGGGAUGUCGGCCAGGGGCCUUAUUUCCUCCGCACAUGAGCCUAUCCAUGGGCUACGUGGGCUUCCUCACAGCAGGCCAUGCUGACUGGAUUCCAAAAGCAAGCACCUCAAAAGGACGAGUUUGUAAGCUGUGUCACCAUUUAUGUCCCAGCCUCAGAGGUCACACAGCAUCUCUCCCACCAUAAUCACGAGCCCACCUACAUGCAAGGGGAAGGAAUAUAGACCCCAUCUCUUAUUGGGAAGAGUGUCAACAUUACAUCGCAAGAAGAGCAGGUUACAGCCAUUUUUGGAGAAUACAACCAGCCACGGUUAGGCCCGGAGAUCAACAAGGACACCCAAGCAACAGACUCAGCUACUGCUUCAUGGAGCAAACAGAAUGAAUUCUUCCCAAACCAGCUGAAUUCUUCCCAAAUUGCAGAAAACCGAGCUAUGGAGCAGCAAAUCACUUGCCUAGAGCUUCGCAGCUGGUAAUCAAGAGCUGGAAUACACUGUGAGCUAAUACUGGGGACUGGCAGCACUUUGCAGGGAAAGCAACACUGAUGUUGUGCUUUGGAGACAG